AGUAAAAACAGCGGGCUAGGUCGUAACGCUACCGGCGCAAUGGAGCAGCACAGCAAAUGUUACUGUAGCGCAACUUUUUGCUCAAACAGCAGAAGAAAACAACCGCAUUUGAGUUUUCACGACUUGCCAAGAGACGAACAUGUGCGUGUUAAAUGGAUUAGAGCAAUAAGGAGAGACGAAGGCGGCCAGUUUGCUGCCGUGCGGGGCGGUAAUGUGUGUAGCCAGCACGUCAGGCCCGAGGAGCUAAACUCGCUGAGGGAGCAGAGUUGGACUGAAGAAGGGAUCGGUUCCAUCACGAUUUGCCUGGAAUGAGUUUGGGACUCAUCAUACGAGAGAGCCAGUACUCGUCUCGGUUUCACAGAGGUGAAGGAAGUGGAGGCCAUGCGGUGUGAGCCCACUGCUAAGGUUAUGGAGCAAGACUACUGGGUGCUCCAUCUCCUGGAACAGUGGAUGCUGCAAGGAUAAAUGAGCUUGAGCAGAAAGUGAUGGAGCUGGAGAACAAAAUAAAGAAGUUUACGUUCCUGACAAACCAACCUAAGAUGAAUCAUUGCUGCUCAACUGAUGAAGAAUUUCCCCUCUGAGGAAAUGUUCAUGUUGUUCUGGGAGUCUGUUGCACCGUCAACGUCUAGAAUAAUUUACAGGGCACAGAGGGAGGCAUAUGAAACACCCAGUCCUGAUCGCAAACUGCCCCUCAUCGGCUAUGUUUACAUGCAAAGAUUUUUGCCAAUCCAAUUGAAUACAAUUGGAUUACAGAUUCAGACUGAGGUGUUUAUCUGCUCACUCAACGAUCUGAUGAAAAUUUUUGUUUACAUGCUCGCUACAAGUAAUCCAAUGUAAAAUGACGCGCAUACGUGGAGUACCGUUUAAACCUUUCGCUAUGACGCGACGUGCAUGCGCAGACCGUACUUACACAUUCCAAUUGGAAUGUAAUCGUAUUCAGGCGUUUACACGGAUAUUAUUCUUCUAUUUAACAGAUUAUUUAGAGGUUUACCCACCUCGCUCAAUCGGAUAGAAAUUGUAUUCCAAAUGGCCUCAAUCAGAUUAGUUUAUUCCGAUUGACGUUUUUACGUGGAUGUAUUAUAUUCCAAUUGAGCUAUUAGUCAGAUAAUUAACGGAUUAUCAGGCAGCAUGUAAACGUGGCUAUUGAUAAAUGUUUCCUGUUUCUUUGUCGCAUUGCUGCUAGUCUCAAGAAACAAGUUUUGGCAUCAGUGUUCAAGGUCAGUUUGUCAACAGUUAGCCACAUCAUCACAACAUGGGCCAGUUAUUUUUACCUUGUUUUGGGGUCUCAACCUUCAUGGAUGACUCAACAGCAGGUGCAAGCUACCAUGCCCGAAAAAUUUUUCCCAAAGAUCUCUGUGCUGAUGGUGGUCCACUGUGAGACAGCAACAUCACUCACCCUACAAUCUGAAAGCUUCUCAAAUUAUAAAAAUCAAGGGACUGGUUGGGGUUGCUUCCUGUGUCAUCAUCAGAUUUGUUUACCUGCUUUACACCGGAUCCAUCUCAGAUCAGGAAAUAACCCAGAGGUCUAACUUCACCAGGCUGCUGCAAACAGGAGAUGGAGUGAUGACUGAUAAGGGCUUUCAGAUUGAAAGGAUGUUAGCAUAAGUAGGGGCCACCCUGAUCAUUCCCCCCUUCAAGAAGUUCAGUUCAGCAAGGAAGAUGCUGAGAAGACACAAGCUAUAGGACAUCUAAGGCUGUUAACACAGCAGGUAAAAGUGGCACAAAUCUGAUCUUUUUCCUCAAAUGUGACACAGAUGUAUCAUUUGUGUGUCAGUGUGAACAGCAAAAAAUGCAUUGAAUCUGACAGUUUCAAUUCCAAGUUGAGACACUUUCAUAUAUGGUACUGAAAUCCGAUCGUAUCCGAUCUGCGGCAAUGCGAAAUCAUUAGCAUCAGCAAAUCAUAAUUUUGCGCUGUUGAGACUCAAACAUUUAGCUGAUGUUUCUGAACCAAAAUGUUAGAGGAGACUCAUCGCAACCGCUCCGUGUUUGAAGAAGUUUCGAACAAAACAGCUGAGUACAGCUGGAGGAGCCCAAGGCAGCAGGGUCAGAGAACAGUUUAAAGAAUCAGAGGACAAAAACCAAAGAAGUGGCCAUGACGAAUAACGCGCCCUUUUUACAGUGAACUCGUACCCAUUGAGGGUGAUGAGCCCAACUGUCAAACAUCAGAACUUGAUUGCUCCUGUGUUGCUGGCAUAGACGAAACAGAGCGACUGGUGUUCUCUAGUCAUCAUGACUGUUUACCUCUGGACGAGCCUCGUGAAGCUCUGUUCUUUUGGCAUGUGGGUCAGUUUGGAAGCUGAUCUGUUCAGACUGAUGUCACAUACAGGUCACAUUUAAAAGAUAAUGUGAACAGCUAAACAAAAAAUUGGAUUUGGUGAGAAAAUCAGAUUUGGGUCACUUUGGGUCACUUGGGUCACUGAGUACCACAUCUGGGAUGGGGUUGUCCCACUUUCCCUCACAGGCUCAGUCAAGCAACUUUAGGCCUUUGCUUGAUGUCAAACUACCAGAGUUCCCUGGACAUCAAAGAGGAUAGACCUGUUUGAACUCAUCUGUUCAUUAAUGGGUGUAAUUAUUCAGUCAUUUUCAGGUUUUAGAAUUUUUCAAUGCAGAUUAAAGUAUUUCAUUUUAAUUGACUCUGUACAAAACUGCUUACAAGCUCAGUGUAAACCACCCACUUUCUCAAUCACUCUCGCUCCAGUUACUAUAGUUUCUUUCUAGUUAUUCAGGAGUUACUGUUAUUAUUGUCCAAAUGAUGUUUUUAUAUGUUGUUGUUGCUUCUGUUUAACAACACUGGAUAUUAAAAACGCUACAUAGAUUCAACUUAUUAUUAAGUCAUUUCAAUGGAUUUAAAUAAUUCUAGUCCACAUUUUUAGAAUUAAUGUUUAAACAAUAAAUCUGAUACAUUUUUAA